rnacentral:rRNA from 1 species
UACGGAAGGGGCGAGCGUUGUUCGGAAUCAUUGGGCGUAAAGGGCGCGUAGGUGGUUCUGUAUGUCUACCGUGAAAGCGUACGGCUCAACCGUAUUUUGUCGGUAGAAACUGCAGGACUUGAGGCUGGGAGGGGCUGGUGGAAUUCCCUGUGUAGCGGUGAAAUGCGUAGAGAUGGGGGGAGAACACUCGUGGCGAAGGCGGCCAGCUAGACCAGUUCUGACACUGAGGCGCGACAGCGUGGGGAGCAAACACGG